rnacentral:rRNA from 1 species
AUUCCAGCUCCAAUAGCGUAUAUUAAUGUUGUUGCAGUUAAAAAGCUCGUAGUUGGAUUCCUGGCCUGAGGUAGCCGGUCCGCCUUGCAAAAGGUGCGCACUGAGCGGCCUCGGCCAUCCUUGGGAAGAGCAGUCCUGGCAUUCAGUUGUCGGGGUUGGGAUUCCCGACGUUUACUGUGAAAAAAUCAGAGUGUUCAACGCAGGCUUACGCCUUGAAUACAUUAGCAUGGAAUAAUGAGAUAGGACCUUGGCGGUCUAUUUUGUUGGUUUGCACGCCGAGGUAAUGAUUAACAGGGACGGUUGGGGUUCUUCGUAUUCAAUUGUCAGAGGUGAAAUUCUUGGAUUUAUGGAAGACGAACUGCUGCGAAAGCGUCGAACAAGGACGUUCUCAUUA